rnacentral:lncRNA from 1 species
GGGGGGUCGGCCAGCCGCCCCGUCCGGGAGGGAGGUGGGGGGGUCAGCCCCCCGCCCGGCCAGCCGCCCCGUCCGGGAGGUGAGGGGCUCCUCUGCCCGGCCGCCCCUACUGGGAAGUGAGGAGCCCCUCUGCCCGGCCAGACGCCCCGUCCAGGAGGGAGGUGGGGGGGUCAGCCCCCCGCCCGGCCAGCCGCCCAGUCCGGGAGGGAGGUGGGGGGUCAGCCCCCCGCCCGGCCAGCCGCCCCGUCUGGGAGGGAGGUGGGGGGAUCAGCCCCCCGCCUGGCCAGCCGCCCCAUCCGGGAGGUGAGGGGCGCCUCUGCCCGGCCGCCCCUACUGGGAAGUGAGGAGCCCCUCUGCCCGGCCAGCCGCCCCGCCCGGGAGGGAGGUGGGGGGGUCAUCCCCCCACCUGGCCAGCCGCCCCAUCUGGGAGGGAGGUGGGGGGGUCAGCCCCCCGCCCGGCCAGCCGCCCCGUCCGGGAGGGAGGUGGGGGGGGUCAGCCCCCCGCCUGGCCAGCCGCCCCGUCCGGGAGGGAGGUGGGGGGAUCAGCCCCCCGCCCGGCCAGCCGCCCCGUCCGGGAGGUGAGGGGCGCCUCUGCCCGGCCGCCCCUACUGGGAAGUGAGGACCCCUCUGCCCGGCCAGCCGCCCCGUCCGGGAGGGAGGUGGGGGGGACAGCCCCCCGCCCAGCCAGCCGCCCUAUCCAGGAGGUGAGGGGCGCCUCUGCCCGGCCGUCCCUACUGGGAAGUGAGGAGCCCCUCUGCCUGGCCAGCCGCCCCGUCCGGGAGGGUGGUGGGGGGGUCAGCUCCCCGCCCGGCCAGCCGCCCCAUCCGGGAGGUGAGGGGCGCUUCUGCCCGGCCGCCCCUACUGGGAAGUGAGGA